rnacentral:rRNA from 1 species
UACGUAGGGAGCGAGCGUUGUCCGGAUUUACUGGGUGUAAAGGGAGCGCAGGCGGAGCGGCAAGUUGGAGGUGAAACCCAUGGGCUCAACCCAUGGCUGCGUUCAAAACUGUAUCUCUUGAGUGAAGUAGAGGCAGGCGGAAUUCCUAGUGUAGCGGUGAAAUGCGUAGAUAUUAGGAGGAACACCAGUGGCGAAGGCGGCCUGCUGGACAUUAACUGACGCUGAGGAGCGAAAGCGUGGGGAGCAAA